GAUGAACGCUGGCGGCGUGCCUAAUACAUGCCAGUCGAGCGAACAGACGAGGAGCUUGCUCCUCUGACGUUAGCGGCGGACGGGUGAGUAACACGUGGAUAACCUACCUAUAAGACUUGGAUAACUUCGGGAAACCGGAGCUAAUACCGGAUAAUAUAUUGAACCGCAUGGUUCAAUAGUGAAAGACGGUUUUGCUGUCACUUAUAGAUGGAUCCGCGCCGCAUUAGCUAGUUGGUAAGGUAACGGCUUACCAAGGCAACGAUGCGUAGCCGACCUGAGAGGGUGAUCGGCCACACUGGAACUGAGACACGGUCCAGACUCCUACGGGAGGCAGCAGUAGGGAAUAUUCCGCAAUGGGCGAAAGCCUGACGGAGCAACGCCGCGUGAGUGAUGAAGGUCUUCGGAUCGUAAAACUCUGUUAUUAGGGAAGAAAAAAUGUGUAAGUAACUAUGCACGUCUUGACGGUACCUAAUCAGAAAGCCACGGCUAACUACGUG
rnacentral:rRNA from 1 species